rnacentral:rRNA from 1 species
GAUGAACGCUGGCGGCGUGCUUAACACAUGCAAGUCGAACGGAGUUUACAUGUGAGCGGAGGGUGCUUGCAUCUAACAAUCUUUGUAAACUUAGUGGCGGACGGGUGAGUAACGCGUGGGUAACCUGCCGUAUGCAGGGGGACAACAGUCGGAAACAGCUGCUAAUACCGCAUAACAUAGAGAUAUUGCAUGUUAACUCUAUCAAAGAUUUAUCGCUUGCAGAUGGGCUCGCGUCUGAUUAGGUAGUUGGUGGGGUAACGGCCUACCAAGUCGACGAUCAGUAGCCGGACUGAGAGGUUGAACGGCCACAUUGGGACUGAGAUACGGCCCAGACUCCUACGGGAGGCAGCAGUGGGGAAUAUUGGGCAAUGGGGGAAACCCUGACCCAGCAACGCCGCGUGAAGGAAGAAGGCCCUCGGGUUGUAAACUUCUUUUACCAGGGACGAAGAAAGUGACGGUACCUGGAGAAAAAGCAACGGCUAACUACGUG